rnacentral:rRNA from 1 species
GACAGAGGGGGCAAGCGUUGCUCGGAAUCACUGGGCGUAAAGCGCACGUAGGCGGAUUGUUAAGUCAGGGGUGAAAUCCUGGAGCUCAACUCCAGAACUGCCUUUGAUACUGGCGAUCUCGAGUCCGGGAGAGGUGAGUGGAACUGCGAGUGUAGAGGUGAAAUUCGUAGAUAUUCGCAAGAACACCAGUGGCGAAGGCGGCUCACUGGCCCGGUACUGACGCUGAGGUGCGAAAGCGUGGGGAGCAAACAGG